UACGUAGGGCGCAAGCGUUGUCCGGAAUCAUUGGGCGUAAAGAGCGUGUAGGCGGCCCGGUAAGUCGGCUGUGAAAGUCCAGGGCUCAACCCUGGGAUGCCGGUCGAUACUGCCGGACUAGAGUUCGGAAGAGGCUAGUGGAAUUCCCGGUGUAGCGGUGAAAUGCGCAGAUAUCGGGAGGAACACCGAUGGCGAAGGCAGCUCGCUGGGACGUUACUGACGCUGAGACGCGAAAGCGUGGGGAGCAAACAGG
rnacentral:rRNA from 1 species